rfam:Myotis davidii contig221329, whole genome shotgun sequence.
GGCAGUUCUCAGGUGAUGCACCCUGGAAUCUAGCUCCCUCCUCUCUGGUUCCCAAUGCAUCACCUGAGAACCGCA